rnacentral:rRNA from 1 species
UACUCGAGUGGCGAACGGGUGAGUAACACGUGGGUAAUCUGCCCUGCACUCUGGGAUAAGCCUGGGAAACUGGGUCUAAUACUGGAUAUGACCUUUCUCCUUAUGGGGUUUGGUGGAAAGUUUUUCGGUGUAGGAUGAGCCCGCGGCCUAUCAGCUUGUUGGUGGGGUGAUGGCCUACCAAGGCGACGACGGGUAGCCGGCCUGAGAGGGUGAUCGGCCACAUUGGGACUGAGAUACGGCCCAG